rnacentral:rRNA from 1 species
UACGUAGGGUGCAAGCGUUGUCCGGAAUUAUUGGGCGUAAAGAGCUCGUAGGCGGUUUGUCGCGUCUGCUGUGAAAACUCGGGGCUUAACUCCGGGCCUGCAGUGGGUACGGGCAGACUAGAGUGCGGUAGGGGAGACUGGAAUUCCUGGUGUAGCGGUGAAAUGCGCAGAUAUCAGGAGGAACACCGGUGGCGAAGGCGGGUCUCUGGGCAGUAACUGACGCUGAGGAGCGAAAGCUAGGGGAGCGAACAGG